rnacentral:misc_RNA from 1 species
ACACUAAUGCAAGAGUUAUUGGCUGUAAAGAAGAUGGAAAGUUAGAUACAUCUACAAAGCUGAACCUCAUAAGAAGUACCUUUUUCUGAUAAUGUCAAAAAAUUAUAAUUUCAAUACAUUUCAAGGUUCAUUUAGUCAAGAUCUAGAAUGACAAUGUAAUAUGGUGCAUAUAACCACAGAUUUUUGUUUAGUUUCAGAAUCAACAUAAAGAAAAUAGUGAGUGUUUAAGUUAUCUGGUCCAUCAAAUCUGAAUUACUUUAAGCUAGCAAAGGGCAACAGGCACAAAAUAGAUUAAGAGAGACUCAUUUUCAAGUUCAAGUAAUUUCAAUUCUAAAGUCUUAAACCCAUAGCUGAAUCAUGUUCAUAAUGUCACAAUCACAAAGCAUUCCUUUACAGAUUUAAAAUUAACAGGUGCUUGAGAUAAUAGACAGAUGAGACACACACACACACAACAUAAUUUAAUGCCCAGAGACUCAUCUCUGGGAGAUGGGAAGGUAGACCUCCCUUCAUCAUCCUUAUGCCAGACAAUCAUCAUCCAAGCACCACACGCCCAGAUCAAGGUUUUUGAAUCAUGA